GGAACCUUUAAAACAGUCCCGUGAGGCUGAGAAGGAAAACGGAAGAGAUACCUUAGUAAUUGACUAUUUACUAAGCUGAACUAUGUCUACCUAUACCCUCUCACAAAUCGGUGAGAGGGUAUUUUCGUU
rfam:Bacillus weihaiensis strain Alg07 chromosome, complete genome.